UGAAGGUCAGUCGCUGUUCUUUUGAUAAAAUGACAUGGUUACGAUGCAGGCAGCACAGAGAGAGAAGGAGAGAGACAGGCAUGCUGAAAGCAGUGGCCAGACAGGGACAUGCUCUGAACAUGCAGGUGAUCAGACUCCGGGACCUGUCAUGGAUGGCAGCUCACGAGAUCCUCCCAGUCAGAGCCGUCAUGCACUCCCGGGGGAUGGCUGCAUCCCCAACCUGCCCACGGCCAGGUUGUGGCGCGCCUGAGUCGGUGAGGCACCUGUUCUGGGAGUGCAGCGCUGCUGGAGACCAGUGGGCAACGGCCGGCUCCCUGCAAUUCCCGUGAUAGCAGGGGAGGCCCUGACAGCCCAAAUGGUGCUGUAUGGGGUGAGCCAAAAGAGUCAGCUACCACCAGACUUUCCAAAGCAAUGGCUCACCCUAGCCGCCAUAAAAGACGCCAUAUGGGCCUCCAGAAACCUGCUGGUAAGAAAGCACAUGCAGAUCCCCCCCGUGGCUGUGAUCCGAAUGGCCGCAGCAACGGUCCAAGUGGCCGGUGCUGCAGGCGGCAGGCCUAGGACACAGCCACAAAGAAGAAUCGUCUCUGUGCCCAUUCGGAUGAGGGAGUCGGAGCCACACGCGGAAAGGUCGAGGCAGCGGCGGCCUGGCUCUCCGGGAGAGGCAGGUGGGAAGGAGCAGAGAGGGGAGGAGAUCCUCUGAGCCACAGGUUCCGAGAGACCAAUGCUGUUGAAGAGAGAGCAGGAUGGGUUUUUUUACUUUUUAAUUGGGCUUCCUCCCGUCCCUGCACAGCUGUUUUUUAAUCAUGUUUUUUAAGCAUCACAAUGAUUUUAUAAAACAACAAUGUGUCCAUGUAUUUAAUUAUAUUUAUUUACCUUUUUUAUACUCACAAUGAUGAUGGUUUAAACUUGUUGUUUAAUUAAAAUGUAUUUUAAAUUGUGUAUGCUUUUAAAACACUGACCUGUAAAUUGUGAUAUGAAAGUUAAAUGAAAGAACUGGUGUCAAUAAAUAUUUUCAAACGAAAAAAAAA
ensembl:lncRNA